AGACCACAGUAUAUGAAAGUUAUGUGCGAUGAAGAAUUGGUUAUCAUGAAAGUGUUUGCUCACAAAAGAAAGAAUUGUUUUAGAAAAGUUGGGGAAAUCCGCAAAUCUGUUAUUUGGUAUGUACCGAGUUGUUCAGAGUUGAAAUGGUUAUCUGUUGACAUGAACUUCUUUUAGUUAUGCUAUUGGUGAGCCGAUUUUGCGU
rnacentral:lncRNA from 1 species